rnacentral:rRNA from 1 species
AUGGAGCACAACGAAUUGGAAGACUCAAGGCACAAUAACUAUGUCGACCAUGAUCCAUUUGACUAUGUGUACUCAAACCUCCCAGCCAACACACACAUCCUGAAGCACGCCGCGAACUGCGACCACUGCAAGGAUAAGAAGUUUGUGUCCGAGGCCCCAGGAUUUUGCUGUCGCAGUGGGCAGAUCGAGCUGAAGCAACCGGAGCCCACCCUGAAGCUCAUGAGGCUUUGGUCUAGCACUGAUGUGGACUCUAGACAUUAUCGGGAGAACAUACGGUUCUUCAACGGCCACUUCUCCUUCACAACCCUCGGCAUCAGCCUCGAUGAAAGCUACACAAACAUGAAGUCUGGGGUGUACACGUUUCGGGCACACGACACCAUCUACCACAAUGUUCAUUCCUUCGGGCCAACAUCCCGUCCAUAG